GCGGCUUUAGCUCACUAGGGAGAGCGUCAGACUGAAGCAAACAUCAGUUAAAUAUCUGAAGGCACUAUGUUCGAUCCACAGAAGCCGCA
rnacentral:tRNA from 2 species